UCAGCAUAUAUUAUCAAGAUGAAUUUUUUGAUCAAGUUGUGAAAAAGCUACAUUCAAGUUACAUUCAAGUCGAGUCAAAAUUUCAAAAUUUUGAACACUGAUUUGAUCAGUUAAAUUUAAUAGAAUGAAUGUUGGUUUUGAUAUACUUACAAUUUAAUUGACAUAGAAGCCUUAAACUGAAAAAGAAUCCAAAGUUGAGAUUGCACAUCAAAAGAAAAAUAAUUAGUGAGGGGUUUAUGUUAGAAGCGAAAAUACUUGAGGGGGUACCUGGACAUUUUCACAAAGACAAAAUGAUGCUCUUAGCCAAUCUACAUGCUAGAGAUGAUCCAAUGGACUAGAUAUUUAGUGGCAAACAAAACUACCAUGCAAUUUUAGCAUCAUGGCCUCUUACACUACUGCACUGUUUCAUUCCA
rnacentral:lncRNA from 1 species